rnacentral:rRNA from 1 species
GGAGAAAAGCAGGGGAUCGAAAGACCUUGCGCUAAAGGAGCGGCCGAUGUCUGAUUAGCUAGUUGGUGGGGUAAAGGCUUACCAAGGCAACGAUCAGUAGCUGGUCUGAGAGGACGA